GAUACCCUAUUAUUUUAAAUGUAAAUCUUUACUCUAGAUUAUUAUAAGUUAUGUUCUUUAAAAUUAAAUAUUUUGGCGGUAUUUUAGUCUUUCCAGAGGAACCUGCUUCGUAAUCGAUAAUCCACGAGACAAUUUACUUUAUCUUUAAGUUUGUAUAUCGUUGUAUUGAAAACAUUUUUUUAGGAUUAUAAUGUUUGUAAUGCUUUAAGAAGUUAUAGUUCAGAUCAAGGUGCAGCUUAUGAUAAAGGAGGGGUGGGUUACAUUUUAUUUAAUUUUGGAUUUUGUCUUGUAAAUAUGAAUGAUACUGGAUUUGGAAGUAAAUAAAUCAGUUUUAUUUGUUGACUAAGCUCUAGAAUAUGCACACAUCGCC
rnacentral:rRNA from 1 species